rnacentral:rRNA from 1 species
AACGAACGCUGGCGGCAGGCCUAACACAUGCAAGUCGAGCGAGCAUUUCGGUGCUAGCGGCGGACGGGUGAGUAACGCGUGGGAACGUGCCCUUUUCUGCGGAAUAGUCCUGGGAAACUGGGGGUAAUACCGCAUACGCCCUUUUGGGGAAAGAUUUAUCGGAGAAGGAUCGGCCCGCGUUGGAUUAGGUAGUUGGUGGGGUAAUGGCCCACCAAGCCGACGAUCCAUAGCUGGUUUGAGAGGAUGAUCAGCCACACUGGGACUGAGACACGGCCCAGACUCCUACGGGAGGAAGCAGUGGGGAAUCUUAGACAAUGGGGGCAACCCUGAUCUAGCCAUGCCGCGUGAGUGAUGAAGGCCUUAGGGUAGUAAAGCUCUUUCAGCUGGGAAGAUAAUGACGGUACCAGCAGAAGAAGCCCCGGCUAACUCCGUG